GGUGAGAUGGCUGAGCUGGCUGAAGGCGCACGACUGGAACUCGUGUAAGGGUUAACGCCCUUCGAGGGUUCAAAUCCCUCUCUCACCGCCA
rnacentral:tRNA from 1 species